rnacentral:rRNA from 1 species
UGGGGAAUAUUGCGCAAUGGGGGAAACCCUGACGCAGCGACGCCGCGUGAGCGAUGAAGGCUUUAGGGUCGUAAAGCUCUUUUGUAAGGGAAGAAUGUUACGAGUGCAAAUACCACUUGUAAAUGACGGUACCUUACGAAUAAGCCCCGGCUAACUACGUGCCAGCAGCCGCGGUAAGACGUAGGGGGCGAGCGUUGUCCGGAAUUACUGGGCGUAAAGAGCACGUAGGCGGGUAUUUAAGUCAGGUGUGAAAGACCGCAGCUCAACUGCGGGAUUGCACCUGAAACUGGGUAUCUUGAGGGCAGGAGAGGGAAGUGGAAUUCCUGGUGUAGCGGUGAAAUGCGUAGAAAUCAGGAGGAACACCAGUGGCGAAGGCGACUUUCUGGACUGACCCUGACGCUGAGGUGCGAAAGCGUGGGUAGCAAACAGG